AGUGAACGCUGGCGGUAGGCCUAACACAUGCAAGUCGAACGGCAGCACAGUAAGAGCUUGCUCUUACGGGUGGCGAGUGGCGGACGGGUGAGGAAUACAUCGGAAUCUACUUUUUCGUGGGGGAUAACGUAGGGAAACUUACGCUAAUACCGCAUACGACCUACGGGUGAAAGCAGGGGAUCUUCGGACCUUGCGCGAUUGAAUGAGCCGAUGUCGGAUUAGCUAGUUGGCGGGGUAAAGGCCCACCAAGGCGACGAUCCGUAGCUGGUCUGAGAGGAUGAUCAACCACACUGGAACUGAGACACGGUCCAGACUCCUACGGGAGGCAGCAGUGGGGAAUAUUGGACAAUGGGCGCAAGCCUGAUCCAGCCAUACCGCGUGGGUGAAGAAGGCCUUCGGGUUGUAAAGCCCUUUUGUUGGGAAAGAAAAGCAGCAGGUUAAUACCCCGCUGUUCUGACGGUACCCAAAGAAUAGGCACCGGCUAACUUCGUG
rnacentral:rRNA from 1 species